rnacentral:rRNA from 1 species
GACGAACGCUGGCGGCGUGCUUAACACAUGCAAGUCGAACGGAAACGCCCUGCUUUUGUGGGGUUCUCGAGUGGCGAACGGGUGCGUAACACGUGAGUAACCUGCCCUUGACUUUGGGAUAACUUCAGGAAACUGGGGCUAAUACCGGAUAGGAGCUCUUGCUGCAUGGUGGGCGUUGGAACGUUUCGGCUGUUGGGGAUGGACUCGCGGCUUAUGAGCUUGUUGGUGGGCUAGUGGCUUACCAAGGCUUUGACGGGUAGCCGGCCUGAGAGGGUGACCGGGCACAUUGGGACUGAGAGACGGACCAGACUGCAACGGGAGGCAGCAGUGGGGAAUAUGGCACAAUGGGCGGAAGCCUGAUGAAGAAACGCCGCGUGCGGGAUGACGGCCUUCGGGGUGUAAACCGCUUUCGCCUGUGACGAAGCGUGAGUGACGGUAAUGGGUAAAGAAGCACCGGCUAACUACGUG